GGACCGUGUGCUGGUGCAGGAUCGGCAGCUACCAGCUGGAUUCGGGAAUCAUUAAAUCAGACAGCGCACUAACUGUUUUAUCCAGAAGUUCACUUUAUAAACAUCCACAAUCUACCUGUCAACUGUUACAGCAGCUGGCAGGUAGAAGCCCUGACUGUACCUGCAUUUCAACAAACACCAGGUUAAUUAUUUCAUUCGGAGGGAUAAAAGGUCCUAACGGCUCUCUAAAAGCUUUAAUUUACAUUUUAAAGGGCCUGAAUCCCCCAGCAGCAGCCGAGCUGUGCUUACAAAAGCUUCAUAUGCACUGCUCCUGGUUUCUUGUCACGUUGUGUGUAAAUUCUUUUUUUUUUUUUUUUUCUGGUUUAGGAACUUUAUCCACAGAAGGAGGUUUUUUUAUGUGAUUUUUUUUUUAUUGAAAUGUGACCUUAAACACAUGUUCCCAAGGACUCGGACCUGUGUCAGCUGAUGUCUGGAUGUUUAUUUGCUGUACAAGUGGGAAUCUCUGCAGGGCGGCCAGGGGGGCGUUGUCUACCUGACUGUCCUCACACGCUGCUUACAGAUGGAAAUUUCCUGUAGGGCAGUUAGAAAGGCUUGGUGCUGGGCGAGGGGGGGCUGAGGGCACUGGGUGAGGACGGUUGUUCAGCUGAGGGGGAGCAGUUUUGGUUUCAGACUUCUUUUACCUGAGAGCAUUAAAGCAGUGCAGCAACAACAGUGACCUGUGACCCCCUGAGAGGCAGUGUCUCUGUGGGGCUCCUGUGUGUGUUUGUUUGUGGUCGUGCACAGGAAGUCCUUCAUAACUGUAACGUAAGCAAACACGGUUUGCUCAGUUUCUGAUGCUGACUGUCUCUCCUGAUGAGCUCAAUGUUCUCCUGGGGUCCAACUGUGGUUCUGGAAGAAGCCAAACCAGCUCCACAUCAGGAACUGAGAUUAUCUAAGCAGAAUAACUGGAACUCCUUGAAGACUCCAGGAACCUCCCAGCCUUCCUAAAGGAUUCCUGGGAUGUCCUUAAGGACUCU
ensembl:lncRNA